rnacentral:tRNA from 1 species
GGAGCUGUGCCUGAAAAAAGGACCACUUUGAUAGAGUGUUUUAUGUGGGUUAAAGUCCCACCACCUCCU